rnacentral:rRNA from 1 species
CAUAGGUUAAUGAGGCGAACCGGGGGAACUGAAACAUCUAAGUACCCCGAGGAAAAGAAAUCAACCGAGAUUCCCCCAGUAGCGGCGAGCGAACGGGGAGCAGCCCAGAGCCUGAAUCAGUAUGUGUGUUAGUGGAAGCGUCUGGAAAGGCGCGCGAUACAGGGUGACAGCCCCGUACACAAAAAUGCACAUGCUGUGAGCUCGAUGAGUAGGGCGGGACACGUGGUAUCCUGUCUGAAUAUGGGGGGACCAUCCUCCAAGGCUAAAUACUCCUGACUGACCGAUAGUGAACCAGUACCGUGAGGGAAAGGCGAAAAGAACCCCGGCGAGGGGAGUGAAAAAGAACCUGAAACCGUGUACGUACAAGCAGUGGGAGCACGCUUAGGCGUGUGACUGCGUACCUUUUGUAUAAUGGGUCAGCGACUUAUAUUCUGUAGCAAGGUUAACCGAAUAGGGGAGCCGAAGGGAAACCGAGUCUUAACUGGGCGUUAAGUUGCAGGGUAUAGACCCGAAACCCGGUGAUCUAGCCAUGGGCAGGUUGAAGGUUGGGUAACACUAACUGGAGGACCGAACCGACUAAUGUUGAAAAAUUAGCGGAUGACUUGUGGCUGGGGGUGAAAGGCCAAUCAAACCGGGAGAUAGCUGGUUCUCCCCGAAAGCUAUUUAGGUAGCGCCUCGUGAAUUCAUCUCCGGGGGUAGAGCACUGUUUCGGCAAGGGGGUCAUCCCGACUUACCAACCCGAUGCAAACUGCGAAUACCGGAGAAUGUUAUCACGGGAGACACACGGCGGGUGCUAACGUCCGUCGUGAAGAGGGAAACAACCCAGACCGCCAGCUAAGGUCCCAAAGUCAUGGUUAAGUGGGAAACGAUGUGGGAAGGCCCAGACAGCCAGGAUGUUGGCUUAGAAGCAGCCAUCAUUUAAAGAAAGCGUAAUAGCUCACUGGUCGAGUCGGCCUGCGCGGAAGAUGUAACGGGGCUAAACCAUGCACCGAAGCUGCGGCAGCGACGCUGAUGCGUUGU